AUCUCCUAUCGUUUUAGAUCAUCCACUGGAGGGACUCGACAUUGACAUAUCAUCGAUCGAGGGUUAUCUCCGGACACCUUCCCCGGAAGUUCAGGAUGAGCGACUCUGGUUACUUGCUGAUAUCCCGAGCUCGACCAAAAAGCUUGUGGGUAUUAGUUCACAGGAGGAGGACGUCCAAGAGGAUGUUUAUGAGACCGUUCACAUUGAGUCUGUCGACGGAGCACGCGAUAUUGACUUGACCGUGAUUCAGGAUUCUCCGGUUAAACCUCCUCCCGCAUACGUACAGAAG